CACAUGCAGUCGAACGAGAAUCUACUGAAAGAGUUUUCGGACAAUGGAAGUAGAGGAAAGUGGCGGACGGGUGAGUAACGCGUGAGGAACCUGCCUUGAAGAGGGGGACAACAGUUGGAAACGACUGCUAAUACCGCAUGAAGCAUAGGGGUCGCAUGAUUCUUAUGCCAAAGAUUUAUCGCUUCAAGAUGGCCUCGCGUCUGAUUAGCUAGUUGGCGGGGUAACGGCCCACCAAGGCGACGAUCAGUAGCCGGACUGAGAGGUUGAACGGCCACAUUGGGACUGAGAUACGGCCCAGACUCCUACGGGAGGCAGCAGUGGGGAAUAUUGGGCAAUGGGCGCAAGCCUGACCCAGCAACGCCGCGUGAAGGAAGAAGGCUUUCGGGUUGUAAACUUCUUUUAAGAGGGAAGAGCAGAGGACGGUACCUCUAGAAUAAGCCACGGCUAACUACGUGCCAGCAGCCGCGGUAAUACGUAGGUGGCAAGCGUUGUCCGGAUUUACUGGGUGUAAAGGGCGUGCAGCCGGGUCUGCAAGUCAGAUGUGAAAUCCAUGGGCUCAACCCAUGAACUGCAUUUGAAACUGUAGAUCUUGAGUGUCGGAGGGGCAAUCGGAAUUCCUAGUGUAGCGGUGAAAUGCGUAGAUAUUAGGAGGAACACCAGUGGCGAAGGCGGAUUGCUGGACGAUAACUGACGGUGAGGCGCGAAAGUGUGGGGAGCAAACAGGAUUAGAUACCCUGGUAGUCCACACUGUAAACGAUGAAUACUAGGUGUGCGGGGACUGACCCCC
rnacentral:rRNA from 1 species